rnacentral:miRNA from 1 species
UACUCAGGAGACUGAGGUGGGAAGAGUGCUUGAGCCUGGGAGCUCAAGGCUGCAGU